UUUUUCUUUCUUUUUUUUUUUUUCCUGCUCGUUCUAGCUCAGUGUUUUAUGGGGGUUUCUCUGGUAUUAUUAUUAUUAUUAUUAUGCGGAUGUUUGACUAUUUCGUGUUUAUUGACCUUCAGAUAUCAUUACCGGAGAUUUUUCUGAGAUCUUGGAGAGAAGGUGGUUGUUGUUUUAUCUCUAUGUGAAGUUUGGCCUCUAGCCACUUCUUAGAGAUUGGUCCCCCCACCCACCACCUCUGCUUCUGUUUAGUUUGCACAAUGGUAGCCUCUGGGUUGGCGGGCGCUUUAUUUCCAGUUAGCCUUUCUCUUCAGUGUGGGGAAGGUCUCCUCACAGAUUCCAAACUGGGCAGGACCUGGGCUUUUUCUUCUGCUGCUGUGUGGAGAAACCCUUAAAACGGAAGCUCAUGCUCAGUACCCUGGACAUAUAUCAUAUUAUGAUACUAAGAGUCCCCAAAAGGGAUGUAAUUUUCCAGUAGCUAGAUUUGACAUGUAUAUGUACCAUGGCUGAAAUGUAAAUUAUGCAUUCCCCUAAACACACUCACUUUGCUAGUAUGUGGCUACCAUUAUGGUUUGCUGCCUAUGUGUUUGUCCUAUUAAAAUAACUUUAUUCUAUCAACACUAAUUGUAAUAAAAUUACCAGUUAUUUGUAGUUUGCUAUUAUGGGCAGUGUUUCCUAAUAUAAAAAAAUACAUACGUGUAUAUACGUACACACAAAAUUAACUGCAAAUGGUUCUAUAUGUUGCCAGUAACAGGUUAAAAGAAUAUAUUUAUUUGUUCCUUUUAAUUGGACAGUUGAGAGACAUGGGCAGGAAGGGCUCCAGGAUCCUCUGAGUAAAUAGGACAAAAUGAAACACUGGGGACCCCCAGAAAGAAAGAACAGUGAUGACAAGGAUAUAUAUGUGUGUGUGUGUAUAACUAUGGUUUUUCUUUGGAAAGGUUGAAAAAACUUGAAACUUUUUGUUAGGGGGAGCAAGUGAUAGGUUUCAGUAUGUUCAAAUUUUCAAGUGUUUGAAAAGAUUAUUUUGUAUAAGGUGGAGUAGGUCGCUGUUUCACAGUUGCUGAAAGAUGCAGUUGGGCUCUUUGCCGGAUGCUCUCCCAGAAGACCCCUGCUGAUAUUUUGGAGACAGUGAAGCAGAGCAACUGCAGUAAACGGGUAGAGACUUUCUGCUUCCUAAUACACUUACUUGUUCCUGGGAGGUGAUGGCAGUAACGCAGAUCUGAUACAGGAAACUGGAAAAAUAAGCAGAUGAGUAUAUCUUUUAUCAAGCAUUGGUCAUUAGAAUGUUUGAAGUAAAACUUACCUACAUACUGGGACUAUUCAUUAUGGUUAUUAAAAAAUGUUUUAAUGUGUUACUUUAAGAACGAAGAUCAUUGAGAGUGGAAACUGUCUUUCAUUGUUCAUUUUCAGUGCCCACUAAGUGCAUGGUACAUAGUAGGAAUGCAAGUGUUUGUUGAGUAAAAGUGUUGAAUAAAGGUACCUUCACUUGGCAUAGUUCCGCAAUGACUGUCCCCAAAGCUGCAGAAGUUAGUGUGUUGGUAUCUGACCUCUGCUAUUUUUUUUGCUUUUUAGGGCCGCACCUGCAGCAUAUGGAGGUUCCCAGGCUAGGGGUCGAAUUGGAGCUGUAGUUGCUGGCCUGCGCCACAGCACAGCCACAGCAUCGUGGGAUCCCCAACCCACUGAGCGAGGCCAGGGAUCAAACCCACAUCUUCACGGAUGCUAGUCAGAUUUGUUUCCACUGCACCACAAUAGGAACUCCUCAGUGAUAACUUUUUAAAUUUAGAAAUCUUACUUCACAUAGUUGCUAAGUGUGUAAGCUGGGAUACUAAUAACAAAAACACGGUAAUCUGGAGUUCUCUUGUGCAGCAGGUUAAGGAUCUGGUGUUGUUACUGAGGUGGUGUGGGUUCAGUCCCUGGUCUGGGAACGUCCGUAUGCCAUGGGCAAGGACAGAAAAACCAAAAAACUGCAGUGAUCCUGGACCCUGGACUUUGUAAAAUAAACUGGCAUUCUAGUCAAGUUAGAUGAGAGGUUAAAAAAGAAAUCUAACUUGAAUGGUCCCAGGAAACCGUAUUUACAGUAAUCUCAAAUGAAGAGAAUUUGAUUGCAUUAAAGUACAUGUUGUCACAAAUCCGAUUUUUGGAGUAGAUUUUAAGACUUUGUAAGACAUGGCAUGAAGGUAGUUUGGCAGUCAGGAGAAUAAAUGAGAUUUAAAAAAUCUCUCUAAUGGUUAUAAGACCUUUAGGAAAUAUGAAAUCUAGGAUUUCAGAGAACUAAUUGGAGAUAGGGCUAUAAAGGUAAGAGUCCAGGAAAGUACCUGGGUGAGUAUUAAUGUUCUAGCCAGUCUUGGAAAUCACUUCCCUGGAAAAUGGUCCAGACCUGACCUGUAAUUAGGUGAUUUUCAAGCCGUCUUUUCUCAGCCGCUCCAUAACUUAAGGCCUGGAUCACAUUCACCACUUCAUUGAAUAGGCCCAUUUUCUCCCGCCUCCACCAUCGUUGGUCUUACUAAGAAUACGUGAUUCAUAGAUCCAGUUAAUAAAAGUGAAUUCUGGAGUUCCCGUCGUGGCGCAGUGGUUAACGAAUCCGACUAGGAACCAUGAGGUUGCGGGUUCGGUCCCUGCCCUUGCUCAGUGGGUUAACGAUCUGGCGUUGCGUGAGCUGUGGUGUAGGUUGCAGACGCGGCUCGGAUCCGAGUUGCUGUGGCUCUGGCGUAGCCGUGGCUACAGCUCCGAUUCGACCCUAGCUGGAACCUCCAUAUGCCGAGAGCGCCAAGAAAUAGCAACAACAAGAACAACAACAACUAAAAGACAAAAAGACAAAA
rnacentral:lncRNA from 1 species